AAGAACGUUUCAGUGUCGACGGACGCCAUGGCAACCGUCAUUCGCCUUUCUCUUCGCCUGCCUUACGGUCGUGUUGAAGCGUUGAUGACGAAUGUAAGCUGCAACAUCGAUGUCUUCACGCACGAGUUACUUUAGACAUCAAAGGAAACACCUUAAUGUCAGCAAGUAUAAUUAAGUUUCCAUGUUUUGCGUCUGAAUGCAAUGCGAAGCGUUUUCUUCACAUUCCGUUUUCUCUUCUCAGUGCCUAAGAAAUCCUGCUCGUAAAAAGCAACAACUGCCGGCUCCAACGAUUUCUAGCAUGGAGGGGACUGAAUCAUUCCUUCUUGAAGAACUGCAGGUACCGACAGAAUAAAGGAGCAUACAAGACCUGAUUUUCUCCUGUAGAUGCUUCCUUGAGAUCUAUCAACCGGCGGAAGCUACAUGAAGGCACAAGAAGCAUUGUUCGAGCACAGAGAAGGUUCACUUGU